rnacentral:rRNA from 1 species
AGCGAACGCUGGCGGCAGGCCUAACACAUGCAAGUCGAACGAACUCUUCGGAGUUAGUGGCGGACGGGUGAGUAACACGUGGGAACGUGCCUUUAGGUUCGGAAUAACUCAGGGAAACUUGUGCUAAUACCGAAUGUGCCCUUCGGGGGAAAGAUUUAUCGCCUUUAGAGCGGCCCGCGUCUGAUUAGCUAGUUGGUGAGGUAAAGGCUCACCAAGGCGACGAUCAGUAGCUGGUCUGAGAGGAUGAUCAGCCACAUUGGGACUGAGACACGGCCCAAACUCCUACGGGAGGCAGCAGUGGGGAAUCUUGCGCAAUGGGCGAAAGCCUGACGCAGCCAUGCCGCGUGAAUGAUGAAGGUCUUAGGAUUGUAAAAUUCUUUCACCGGGGACGAUAAUGACGGUACCCGGAGAAGAAGCCCCGGCUAACUUCGUGCCAGCAGCAGCCGCGG